UACAGAGGGGGCAAGCGUUGUUCGGAAUUACUGGGCGUAAAGGGCGCGUAGGCGGCCUCUUAAGUCGAACGUGAAAUCCCCGGGCUCAACCCGGGAACUGCGUCCGAUACUGGGAGGCUUGAAUCCGGGAGAGGGAUGUGGAAUUCCAGGUGUAGCGGUGAAAUGCGUAGAUAUCUGGAGGAACACCGGGUGGCGAAGGCGGCAUCCUGGACCGGUAGUUGACGCUGAGGCG
rnacentral:rRNA from 1 species